rnacentral:rRNA from 1 species
AACGAACGCUGGCGGCAGGCCUAACACAUGCAAGUCGAGCGAGGACUUCGGUCCUAGCGGCGGACGGGUGAGUAACGCGUGGGAACGUGCCCUUUGCUUCGGAAUAGCCCUGGGAAACUGGGAGUAAUACCGGAUGAGCCCUUUGGGGGAAAGAUUUAUCGGCGAAGGAUCGGCCCGCGUUGGAUUAGGUUGUUGGUGGGGUAAUGGCAUACCAAGCCGACUAUCCAUAGCUGGUUUGAGAGGAUGAUCAGCCACACUGGGACUGAGACACGGCCCAGACUACUACGGGAGGCAGCAGUGGGGAAUCUUAGAAAAUGGGGGAAACCCUGAUCUAGCCAUGCCGCGUGAGCGAUGAAGGCCUUAGGGUUGUAAAGCUCUUUCAGAUGGGAAGAUAAUGACGGUACCAGCAGAAGAAGCCCCGGCUAACUCCGUG